GGGUUGUGAGGUUAAGCGACUAAGCGUACACGGUGGAUGCCCUGGCAGUCAGAGGCGAUGAAGGACGUGCUAAUCUGCGAAAAGCGUCGGUAAGGUGAUAUGAACCGUUAUAACCGGCGAUGUCCGAAUGGGGAAACCCAGUGCAAUUCGUUGCACUAUCGUUAACUGAAUACAUAGGUUAACGAGGCGAACCGGGGGAACUGAAACAUCUAAGUACCCCGAGGAAAAGAAAUCAACCGAGAUUCCCCCAGUAGCGGCGAGCGAACGGGGAGCAGCCCAGAGUCUGAAUCAGCUUGUGUGUUAGUGGAACGGUCUGGAAAGUCCGACGGUACAGGGUGAUAGUCCCGUACACCAAAAUGCACAGGUUGUGAACUCGAAGAGUAGGGCGGGACACGUGGUAUCCUGUCUGAAUAUGGGGGGACCAUCCUCCAAGGCUAAAUACUCCUGACUGACCGAUAGUGAACCAGUACCGUGAGGGAAAGGCGAAAAGAACCCCGGCGAGGGGAGUGAAAAAGAACCUGAAACCGUGUACGUACAAGCAGUGGGAGCACCUUCGGGUGUGACUGCGUACCUUUUGUAUAAUGGGUCAGCGACUUAUAUUCUGUAGCAAGGUUAACCGUAUAGGGGAGCCGCAGGGAAACCGAGUCUUAACUGGGCGUUAAGUUGCAGGGUAUAGACCCGAAACCCGGUGAUCUAGCCAUGGGCAGGUUGAAGGUUGGGUAACACUAACUGGAGGACCGAACCGACUAAUGUUGAAAAAUUAGCGGAUGACUUGUGGCUGGGGGUGAAAGGCCAAUCAAACCGGGAGAUAGCUGGUUCUCCCCGAAAGCUAUUUAGGUAGCGCCUCGUGAACUCAUCUUCGGGGGUAGAGCACUGUUUCGGCUAGGGGGUCAUCCCGACUUACCAACCCGAUGCAAACUACGAAUACCGAAGAAUGUUAUCACGGGAGACACACGGCGGGUGCUAACGUCCGUCGUGAAGAGGGAAACAACCCAGACCGCCAGCUAAGGUCCCAAAGUCAUGGUUAAGUGGGAAACGAUGUGGGAAGGCACAGACAGCCAGGAUGUUGGCUUAGAAGCAGCCAUCAUUUAAAGAAAGCGUAAUAGCUCACUGGUCGAGUCGGCCUGCGCGGAAGAUGUAACGGGGCUAAACCAUGCACCGAAGCUGCGGCAGCGACACUAUGUGUUGUUGGGUAGGGGAGCGUUCUGUAAGCCUGCGAAGGUGACCUGUGAGGGUUGCUGGAGGUAUCAGAAGUGCGAAUGCUGACAUAAGUAACGAUAAAGCGGGUGAAAAGCCCGCUCGCCGGAAGACCAAGGGUUCCUGUCCAACGUUAAUCGGGGCAGGGUGAGUCGACCCCUAAGGCGAGGCCGAAAGGCGUAGUCGAUGGGAAACAGGUUAAUAUUCCUGUACUUGGUGUUACUGCGAAGGGGGGACGGAGAAGGCUAUGUUAGCCGGGCGACGGUUGUCCCGGUUUAAGCAUGUAGGCUGGUUGUCCAGGCAAAUCCGGAUAAUCAAGGCUGAGGUGUGAUGACGAGGCACUACGGUGCUGAAGUAACAAAUGCCCUGCUUCCAGGAAAAGCCUCUAAGCAUCAGGUAACAUCAAAUCGUACCCCAAACCGACACAGGUGGUCAGGUAGAGAAUACCAAGGCGCUUGAGAGAACUCGGGUGAAGGAACUAGGCAAAAUGGUGCCGUAACUUCGGGAGAAGGCACGCUGGUGUGUAGGUGAAGUCCCUGCGGAUGGAGCUGAGACCAGUCGAAGAUACCAGCUGGCUGCAACUGUUUAUUAAAAACACAGCACUGUGCAAACACGAAAGUGGACGUAUACGGUGUGACGCCUGCCCGGUGCCGGAAGGUUAAUUGAUGGGGUUAUCCGUAAGGAGAAGCUCUUGAUCGAAGCCCCGGUAAACGGCGGCCGUAACUAUAACGGUCCUAAGGUAGCGAAAUUCCUUGUCGGGUAAGUUCCGACCUGCACGAAUGGCGUAAUGAUGGCCAGGCUGUCUCCACCCGAGACUCAGUGAAAUUGAACUCGCUGUGAAGAUGCAGUGUACCCGCGGCAAGACGGAAAGACCCCGUGAACCUUUACUAUAGCUUGACACUGAACAUUGAGCCUUGAUGUGUAGGAUAGGUGGGAGGCUUUGAAGCGUGGACGCCAGUCUGCGUGGAGCCAACCUUGAAAUACCACCCUUUAAUGUUUGAUGUUCUAACGUUGGCCCCUUACCGGGGUUGCGGACAGUGUCUGGUGGGUAGUUUGACUGGGGCGGUCUCCUCCCAAAGCGUAACGGAGGAGCACGAAGGUUAGCUAAUCCUGGUCGGACAUCAGGAGGUUAGUGCAAUGGCAUAAGCUAGCUUGACUGCGAGCGUGACGGCGCGAGCAGGUGCGAAAGCAGGUCAUAGUGAUCCGGUGGUUCUGAAUGGAAGGGCCAUCGCUCAACGGAUAAAAGGUACUCCGGGGAUAACAGGCUGAUACCGCCCAAGAGUUCAUAUCGACGGCGGUGUUUGGCACCUCGAUGUCGGCUCAUCACAUCCUGGGGCUGAAGUAGGUCCCAAGGGUAUGGCUGUUCGCCAUUUAAAGUGGUACGCGAGCUGGGUUUAGAACGUCGUGAGACAGUUCGGUCCCUAUCUGCCGUGGGCGCUGGAGAAUUGAGGGGGGGCUGCUCCUAGUACGAGAGGACCGGAGUGGACGCAUCACUGGUGUUCGGGUUGUCAUGCCAAUGGCACUGCCCGGUAGCUAAAUGCGGAAGAGAUAAGUGCUGAAAGCAUCUAAGCACGAAACUUGCCCCGAGAUGAGUUCUCCCUGAGACUUUAAGUCUCCUGAAGGAACGUUAAAGACGAUGACGUUGAUAGGCCGGGUGUGUAAGCGCAGCGAUGCGUUGAGCUAACCGGUACUAAUGAACCGUGAGGCUUAACCUUACAACGCCGAAG
rnacentral:rRNA from 1 species